AGGAGGAUGCAGCCUAGGAACCACUGGUACCCACCAUAUGUGAAGGGCUGUGCACCAGUGCUGCAUACUGCAGAUGCUGCACUGCUGAGCCGUGGUCCAGCAGAGGGUGAAAGGUGGACAAGUACCAAAAACCUGAAUGUGCACUCACUCUUAUUGAGACGUUGCAGAAUUCCCUGUAAACAUCCGCCUCCUCUCCUUAGCACCCUCAUCUGCAUCAUGUAUGGAAGAGGUCCUGCACUUCUGAUUCAAGCAUUUCUCUGAAGUCUGCAGGAACACAUGGAAGGAUUCCCAAAGAAUUUGAGGUCGGAUGUUUGUGACCUCACAUCACCCAGCAAGGCACCCGGUGCCACAAAGGUCCAUGCUGGUUUUGGAAGAUGCUGAGCACCAGUUGCUUUCCCCAGCAGCAGGGUUGUUCAAAAGUGUCUUUAGGUAUUGAUCACUCUUCGCUGAGUGCAGGCCCUUUCUCCAGGCCAGACCCACCUGCCACCCGUGCAAAUGCAUGCUCAGAUGAAGAAUGCUCAGGACCUUGUGGCAUUAAGAAGACCUCAGGGCAUCCAGAAGGACCAACGGCGGGCAGGCUGAUCUACGCACAAAUGUCCUCUGUUGAACUUUUCCUCUGCUCUUGCGGUACUUUUAGCUUACAGCAUGGGCGAGCAUCAACCAGCAACAGAGAAGAGCUGUCAUCAAGGCAGAGAACAAGUGGAGCAGCCUGCUGCAGUUGUUCUGUUGAGUCUUCAGCCUCUGAAAUUAGUAACUAAAUUGGCAAGGGCGAAGGCCAAAGCUGAAGUAAUCAGGCAGUUACUGCAAGAACUAAAGAAGCCAUUGAAUGACGCCAGCCAGGCUUACUUCUUUCUUAGGAGGGAACUUGAAGCUCUCUUGCAUAUUUAGAGAUUGAGGGGACAGCUCUUGGAGGAACUUGCACAGCCCAGAUGAUUCCUCUGUGCAAAAAACUGUACACGUUUGAAUCAUGAAAUACAGUUGAAAAAAGUAUUUGGGGACUAAGAAGUCACCAGAAAUUGGACUGGCUCUGAAGCACACACGUAACUGAUCUCUGGGCAUCCUCAAGUUUUGAUGUGAGAAGAGCUGGCUCCAAAUGCUACGCAUGGCCCCACUGAUUAUUUUAUUAUUAUUAUUAUUUUUAAAUCUGAAUACUACCUCAUAUGUAGCCCACACAUCCCCAACAUAGGGAUGCUUUAAAUUCAAAAACUCAGGAGGAGCCUAUCAGAUUUUUUUAGGGCAGGUUGCCAGUUCUUUUGCCAGCACACAUACUACUACAAAUUCUUACACGCACAUACAUAGUUCAGACUUGCCCUGCGCAGUGACACCCAGCCGCAUUUAAUUCCUGUGCAUACCAUCUCCCUUUGCCAGCCUCCUCUCUGAUGAUUUUUUCCUUGUUCUCAACAAACACAAUUCUAAAUACAGUCCCUGAGUUUCCAUUAAGGAUGAGCAAAGCAGAGCUUUAAACUGUGAAGCUGUUUUAACCCAUUUACUCCCAGAUCUACAAGCUACAAGCUUCCCAGUUUCAUUCCAACAACUCAGGAAAAUUU
rnacentral:lncRNA from 1 species